GUGCUCGCUUCGGCAGCACUUAUACAACUGGAAUGAUACAGAGAAGAUUAGCAAGGCCCUUGUACAAGGAUGACACAUAAAAAUGUUUCCUUAGAAAACACU
rnacentral:snRNA from 1 species